AAGUCGUAACAAGGUCUCCGUUGGUGAACCAGCGGAGGGAUCAUUACUGAGUUACACUCUCAACCCUUGGGAAUUUUCUUGGUUGCUUCGGCAGAUUUUCCCUGGGAGGGAAGCAAACAAAUCUGCCAGAGGCUUGCAACUCUGAUUUCAGUGGCAUUCUGAAGAAACUUAAAAAAAGUAAAAACUUUCAGCAACGGAUCUCUUGGUUCUG
rnacentral:misc_RNA from 1 species